rnacentral:lncRNA from 1 species
UUCUUGUUAAAAUUGUAUAGAGGCGAAAUGUUCGAAUCUUUAUUCUUUUGGAAAGAAGAAAGAAUCACAAAAUUGUUGAGGUUAAGUCAUUUAGAUGUUAGUGGCACUUGUCCACAACAUAAUACUACUCAUGUUGUAUGACAUUCACCAAAGAUCACCCUCGGUUGGACUAUAGUUUAUUUUAAAUAAACACAAGUCCAAAUACUUUGCAAAAGGUUUCAAAGAAUUCAAGUAAUGUAAGUUGAUGAGUAAGA